UACGUAGGGCGCAAGCGUUAUCCGGAAUUAUUGGGCGUAAAGAGCUCGUAGGCGGUGUGUCGCGUCGGCCGUGAAAACCUGCAGCUCAACUGCAGGCUUGCGGUCGAUACGGGCAGGCUAGAGUUCGGUAGGGGAGACUGGAAUUCCUGGUGUAGCGGUGAAAUGCGCAGAUAUCAGGAGGAACACCGGUGGCGAAGGCGGUUCUCUGGGCCUUACCUGACGCUGAGGAGCGAAAGCGUGGGGAGCGAACAGG
rnacentral:rRNA from 1 species